rnacentral:misc_RNA from 1 species
UCCGGUUUGUCACCGGCAGUCCCAUUAGAGUGCUCAACUAAAUGUGGCAACUAAUGGCAAGGGUUGCGCUCGUUGCGGGACUUAACCCAACAUCCCACGACACGAGCUGACGACAGCCACGCAGCACCUGUGUACUGGCUCCCUUUCGGGCACUCCCUGAUCUCUCAAGGAUUCCAGCCAUGUCAAGGGUAGGUAAGGUUUUUCGCGUUGCAUCGAAUUAAUCCACAUCAUCCACCGCUUGUGCGGGUCCCCGUCAAUUCCUUUGAGUUUUAAUCUUGCGACCGUACUCCCCAGGCGGUCUACUUCACGCGUUAGCUGCGUUACCAAGUCAAUUAAGACCCGACAACUAGCUCUCAUCGUUUACAGCGUGGACUAC